AUACGGAGGGUGCAAGCGUUAAUCGGAAUUACUGGGCGUAAAGCGCGCGUAGGCGGUUUGAUAAGUCGGAUGCGAAAUCCCCGGGCUCAACCUGGGAAUUGCAUUCGAUACUGUCAGGCUAGAGUGUGGUAGAGGGAAGUGGAAUUUCCGGUGUAGCGGUGAAAUGCGUAGAUAUCGGAAGGAACACCAGUGGCGAAGGCGGCUUCCUGGACCAACACUGACGCUGAGGUGCGAAAGCGUGGGGAGCAAACAGGAUUAGAAACCCUAGUAGUCC
rnacentral:rRNA from 1 species